rnacentral:lncRNA from 10 species
UAUCUAUUACAGUGCCUUCCUCAUACAAAAUGCAGUCACAGGGUCCUUUGGGUGUCACUUCUCCAGCUGGAAACCUCUGUGGCCAGCAGCAACUCUGCUUGAGAUUUGCUUGUGCCCGCUGGGCUUGUUCCACAUGCUUGACCUGGGAGUCUGUGCUUGGCUCACACCACAGGCAGCAACCUGAGAUGCUGCAUUUCUACACCUCUCAAGGGCAAGCCAG